CGCACCGGAACGCCGCGGCCGGCGCUGGUCCAUCCGGCCCCUCGGUGGCCCGCGGGCCCGGCGGCGGGCGGGCGCUGGGGUCAGGGCGGUCGGCCUGGGGCCGCCGCCCCGGACUCGGCCGGCGUAGCCGCCAGACGAAAUUUAAAUGGCGCGGCCGCUUCUGUUUCCAGGGCAAAGGGCCGGUUGGGCUUGUUAAAACCUAGGAGUGCCGGGCACCGUUAUUCGGGUGCAGGCCCUCCCCUCCUGGGGGACCGAGAGCUUCGCGAGGCUAGGUGGGGACAGUUUUCUCCCUGUGACAUUCUCCAUCCUGGCCUCCCGCCGAGCUGAAGUUUCUGUGUUUGUUGAUUGAAGAAGCAGUCACAGCAGAGAGCCUGUAGGUUAAAAGUGGCUGGUUUAUUGAGCAUCAGAAAUAGGAUGUCAUAUGGUACAAGAGGCCUUCGGAUGACUUCCAGAUGCAUAACUCUGCCCGGAGCUCAGACACUGACAAUGGCCAGUGACACACAGCAGACUGCGGAAGCUCCCACUACCUGGUGCCGAAGUCUUGCUGUACUUUUCAAAGGCUCAGAGGCUCUAGAAGGCCCACUGAAAUAUGACGAUGAAAAUGGUUGCAUUGGAAUUGAUCCCUCAAAAAUUAAUAAAAAGAUCUGUCUAAUCA